rnacentral:rRNA from 1 species
CCUACGGGAGGCAGCAGUGGGGAAUAUUGCACAAUGGGCGAAAGCCUGAUGCAGCGACGCCGCGUGAGGGAUGACGGCCUUCGGGUUGUAAACCUCUUUCAGCAGGGAAGAAGCGAAAGUGACGGUACCUGCAGAAGAAGCACCGGCUAACUACGUGCCAGCAGCCGCGGUAAUACGUAGGGUGCGAGCGUUGUCCGGAAUUAUUGGGCGUAAAGAGCUUGUAGGCGGUUUGUCGCGUCUGCCGUGAAAAUUCGCGGCUCAACCUCGAACUUGCGGUGGGUACGGGCAGACUAGAGUGUGGUAGGGGAGACUGGAAUUCCUGGUGUAGCGGUGAAAUGCGCAGAUAUCAGGAGGAACACCGAUGGCGAAGGCAGGUCUCUGGGCCACUACUGACGCUGAGAAGCGAAAGCAUGGGGAGCGAACAGGAUUAGAUACCCUGGUAGUCCACGCCGUAAACGUUGGGAACUAGGUGUGGGUCUCAUUCCACGAGAUCCGUGCCGCAGCUAACGCAUUAAGUUCCCCGCCUGGGGAGUACGGCCGCAAGGCUAAAACUCAAAGGAUUGACGGCGNGAGACGNGCGACGACGACGACGAGGGAGGAG